rnacentral:snRNA from 1 species
UUGCUUCAGCAGCAUAUAUAUUAAAAUUGGAACAAUACAGAGAUUAGCCUGGCGCCUGAAUGAGGAUGACAUGCAAACCACAAUUCAUGGAAUCCCUGUGU